GAUAGCGUGGGGUGAGGAGGCGCGUGAAUACGUGGGUGCGGGGCGUUAUCCAGAAUCAUUGGGCUUAAAGGGUCCGUAGGCUGGCUGAGAAGUCAGAGGGGAAAGCACUGUGCUCAACUGAGUAACUGCCUUUUAAACUGUAGGUCUGGAAUGUUUGUGAAGUAGCUGGAAUGUGUAGUGUGGCGGUGAAAUGCAUAGAUAUUACACAGAACACCGAUUGCGAAGGCAUGUUACUAACAAAUUAUUGACGCUGAUGGACGAAAGCGUGGGGAGCGAACAGGAUUAGAUACCCCGGUAGUC
rnacentral:rRNA from 1 species